UUCUUAGCAGGAAGGUUCAUCAAAGAACGUUCAAAUUGGACGGAGGGGCAUAUUAGACAGUCCUCGUGGAUUCUGGAUGCCGAAGGGGUUUGAUUAUCAAAUGAACGAGUGUGGAUUAAAGGCUGACAGGUCUGUAGUGUUACUUCAUUGACCUGAUAGCGGUAAACUGCAUCUGCAAGACAGUAAGACAGAAAGACAGGAAGGAGAAAGCAUGUCUGUGACUGUUGGACCUCUUCCUGUGGUUAACACCACGUGGGCCCAGGGGUUAAAAAGGAGACGACUUCUUCUUCUUCAUCCUCUUCUUCUAGGACAGGGAGAAGAAACCAGCCCUCAUGAACACUGGACGAGUUCUUCGCUUUUCACAAACUUGGGAGCCAUCGGUCAGAGGCAGGUGCAUGAGAAGACGGAAGCCGUGCGGACGACGACAACGGAGGAAGUACAGUGCAGUCAUCCAUAAAGUAGAAAGCACUACUAAACUCCUCGCCACAGUGUAGUGUUUCCUACUUUAUGGAUGAGUGUACUGUUGUCUACGGUGACCAUGGCAGAGGACCCAAAAUGGCGCCCGCCGAGAAAUACUGUGUUCGCAUACAGGAAGAGGAAAAAGAGGAACCUGCUUUGUCUCAUGUUGUGGCGGCGUACACAGCCCAGAGUGUCCCUCCCAUUCAGUUCACAUGGGCUCUGUACACACACAGCACUGAGCUAAGCUGGCAACACCUCAUGGUUCUCAUGGUUAAAAAUGUGUGGGAUAUAUUACAUUUGUGUAUUGAAUUGUGUGAGUGUUUUGAAUGCUUCAAACUGUAGAUCUGGACAUGUGAAUUUUGGUGGAACUUGUCUUGCUUGGUCUAGGUUUUAAUUUAGAAAUGUAUGAUGCACUUGCAUACAUCUGUAUUGGUGAAAGUAUUUACUCAGUUACUGAAGAAUGAAAUAAAAUCAUAUUUCUUUUA